rnacentral:ncRNA from 1 species
GCUACGUUCAAGGUCUGAGGUGCCACCUUUCGCAAGGUGGAGAAUUGGGAAGCUGGUGAGAAACCAGCGCUGCCCCCGCAACGGUAAAUGCAGGAGGCGAGACGACAAUAUGUCACUGGGAUAGCUCCCGGGAAGGCGUCGGAUCGCACGGUUUUUUAAGCCACCUGUUUCAGCCCGGAAACCAGCCUUGGAGUACGUCAAACC